rnacentral:rRNA from 1 species
UGGGGAAUAUUGGACAAUGGGGGCAACCCUGAUCCAGCAAUGCCGCGUGUGUGAAGAAGGCCUUCGGGUCGUAAAGCACUUUAGUUGGAGAAGAAGGUAAUUUGUUUAAGAGAUGAAUUAUUUGACGGUAUCCAAAGAAUAAGCACCGGCUAACUCUGUGCCAGCAGCCGCGGUAAUACAGAGGGUGCUAGCGUUAAUCGGAAUUACUGGGCGUAAAGGGCGCGUAGGCGGUUGUUUAAGUUUGAUGUGAAAGCCCCGGGCUUAACCUGGGAACUGCAUUGAAUACUGGGCGACUAGAGUACUGUAGAGGGUAGUGGAAUUUCCGGUGUAGCGGUGAAAUGCGUAGAGAUCGGAAGGAACACCAGUGGCGAAGGCGGCUACCUGGACAGAUACUGACGCUGAGGCGCGAGAGCGUGGGGAGCAAACAG